GACAGAGGGUGCAACGUUGUUCGGAAUUACUGGGCGUAAAGCGCGUGUAGGCGGCCAUGCAAGUCGGAUGUGAAAGCCCUCGGCUCAACCGGGGAAGUGCACUCGAAACUGCAAGGCUAGAGUCUCGGAGAGGAUCGUGGAAUUCUCGGUGUAGAGGUGAAAUUCGUAGAUAUCGAGAGGAACACCGGUGGCGAAGGCGGCGAUCUGGACGAUGACUGACGCUGAGACGCGAAAGCGUGGGGAGCAAACAGG
rnacentral:rRNA from 1 species